GAUGAACGCUGGCGGCGUGCCUAAUACAUGCAAGUCGAGCGAACAGACGAGGAGCUUGCUCCUCUGACGUUAGCGGCGGACGGGUGAGUAACACGUGGAUAACCUACCUAUAAGACUGGGAUAACUUCGGGAAACCGGAGCUAAUACCGGAUAACAUGUUGAACCGCAUGGUUCAACAGUGAAAGACGGUCUUGCUGUCACUUAUAGAUGGAUCCGCGCCGCAUUAGCUAGUUGGUAAGGUAACGGCUUACCAAGGCAACGAUGCGUAGCCGACCUGAGAGGGUGAUCGGCCACACUGGAACUGAGACACGGUCCAGACUCCUACGGGAGGCAGCAGUAGGAAAUCUUCCGCAAUGGGCGAAAGCCUGACGGAGCAACGCCGCGUGAGUGAAGAAGGUCUUCGGAUCGUAAAACUCUGUUAUUAGGGAAGAACAAAUGUGUAAGUAACGAUGCACGUCUUGACGGUACCUAAUCAGAAAGCCACGGCUAACUACGU
rnacentral:rRNA from 1 species